rnacentral:rRNA from 1 species
UUGGCGGACGGGUGAGUAACACGUGAGCAACCUGCCUUCGAGAGGGGAAUAACGGCUGGAAACGGUCGCUAAUACCGCAUAACAUACCGGGAGGACAUCCUGCUGGUAUCAAAGAUUUUAUCGCUCGAAGAUGGGCUCGCGUCCGAUUAGGUAGUUGGUGAGGUAACGGCUCACCAAGCCGACGAUCGGUAGCCGGACUGAGAGGUUGAACGGCCACAUUGGGACUGAGACACGGCCCAGACUCCUACGGAAGGCAGCAG